rnacentral:tRNA from 1 species
UCCCUGGAGGAUUAGUGGUUAGGCCACAGCGCUCUCACCACUGUGGCUCAGGUUUGAUUCCCAGCCAGGGAA